CCUGGGCAGGGUAGGCAGCCCGAGCCAGCCCCCCACCCUUGAGCUGGGACAAGGCCUUCCGGAUUGUGUUCAGCUCCUGGAUGUUGGCUCCACGGGCCGCCAGCAGUUUGACCAACCAUCUCUCACAGACCUGGUAUUUGGAACCACCACCACCAUCCCCCAAACUGUCCUGAAUGAGCCAAUCUGGCACCCAUACCUGAGAUGAGCACAAGCAGUAGAUCGUCAGCUGUGAGGCUUUCAGCCAGCUGCCGGAUGGCCAGUGCGGCCCGGAGUGCAUCACGGUCUGGGAGGUUGUCCUCUGCGCCCUCAAAUACCUGGACACAGCUGUGUGGCUUCAGCAGCAUCUCCCUGAAGAGACAGAACAGACAGCAAGAGAUGGGGUACUCCAGAGAUAAAUCCGGCAACACCGAGAAGACCCUCCUUGACUCCUCCUCGCCACCAAGUGGGGCUGGAGCCACUUCCGGCCUUUUCCUGCCCGCACAUGCUCCGGAAG